AGAGAAGAAGAGGUUAACAGAGACACCCUCCAACUAAAACACAGAGAGAAGAGGUUAACAGAGACACCCUCCAACUAAAACACAGAGAGAAGAGGUUAACAGAGACACCCUCCAACUAAAACACAGAGAGAAGAGGUUAACAGAGACACCCUCCAACUAAAACACAGAGAGAAGAGGUUAACAGAGACACCCUCCAACUAAAACACAGAGAGAAGAGGUUAACAGAGACACCCUCCAACUAAAACACAGAGAGAAGAGGUUAACAGAGACACCCUCCAACUAAAACACAGAGAGAAGAGGUUAACAGAGACACCCUCCAACUAAAACACAGAGAGAAGAGGUUAACAGAGACACCCUCCAACUAAAACACAGAGAGAA